GGGUGUUGGCUGGUUCUUCGUGCACCAGGAACUCGCACUGUUUCCACCUGCCAUCCAUGCAACAGCACAAGAUAUUACGCUGUUCCUCCUUCUCCACCUCCACCUCUUACUCUUGAAUUUGUGAUCAUUCGCACGUUGCCGUCGAACCAUUAACCGACCAACUUCAAGGCGCGUGCAGAUUGUUGUGAUUUUAAAACCCGACUAAUUGGACUCGGAAUGGGCAAUUAAAUAGCCGUUGCCAACUGACAGACGUUGUAGCUUUACCACUCCGAUUCAUGAAUAGUUAUUCCGCAUAUUGUUAAACCCCACUGAAUGCGGAUUGUCCGGAGCAGUUUUAUACUCUGUCAAACAGUCCUGUCGAACGUACACGCGAGGCAACAGUAAUAAGGGCUGAGAGAAAAUUAGCGCAUAAUUGAACUAGCUAAGUGAACGGACGGACCUACCUAAUUGACAAUUAAACCUGCACCGGCUCGAGGGGGAAAAGAAGGAGGAGUGAUAUGUUGCGUCUAUUGUGAGCCAGACUUUCGACAUCGGCACAGCCGAUGAAACUGCAAUGUCCAGUUCACAAUCGGAGAUACACCGGAUACGUACGCACGUCUGUAUGAUCCCUGUCCUUUUUAUCAGGACGCCGAAGAAAGGAGGAAUGAACGAAUCAAUCAACGAGACGGAACACCGACGCUCUUUCGGUACCGAAGAAGCUUUGCGCCUUUUCGGAAUAACGCAUCUCGCAAUCGGAGAUGCAUCACGCGUGCUUUUGCAUGAUGUGGCCUCAUAUGCAAAUUAUCAUCAACGACAUACCCAAAGUCGGCCUACUCAAAGCGAACCUGUCGAGGAGAGUUGAUGAAGAGGAGGAGGUAUAGAGAAAGAGAGUAACGGGCGUGUGUGAG